rnacentral:pre_miRNA from 1 species
CUCAGGGAGUGGGUCCCUCAGCCUGGAUUGCGAGAGGGCUCAGGCCAGGCCGAGGGACCCCACUGGUGCAUG